rnacentral:rRNA from 1 species
CAUGGAGGGUGAGAAUCCCGUCCGGCCAACUUUUUGACGCUUUACGAUACACUUUCAAAGAGUCGAGUUGUUUGGGAUUGCAGCUCAAAAUGGGAGGUAAAUUUCUCCUAAGGCUAAAUAUUGGCGAGAGACCGAUAGCGAACAAGUACCGUGAGGGAAAGAUGAAAAGAACUUUGAAAAGAGAGUAAAAUAGUACGUGAAAUUGUUGAAAGGGAAACGAUUGAAGUCAGUCGUACCGACGAUAAAUCAGCUCCUCGAGUGCGGACUUGCGGGCGUGCGUGAGCUUUAAAACCUCGCUGUUUGCAACGUUUGUACUUCUUGGGUGUACUUUUUCGUAUGGUAGGCCAACGUCAGUUUCGAUUACCAUAAAAUGACCGGAGGAAUGUAGCUUCGAUCUCGUAUUGAAGUGUUAUAGCCCCUGGUAGAUGUGGUGACUGAAACUGAGGAUUGCAACGAAUACCCUUUGGGCUAUCCGUCUGAUCUCUGAAAGUUGCUUAGGUGCCGAAAGCGUGCUUACGGUUAUUUAAGUUGACGGUCAAUAGGUUAGAACGUGAUUACAUUCGUUAAGGAUGUUGACGUA